CCUACGGGAGGCAGCAGUGGGGAAUAUUGCACAAUGGGGGAAACCCUGAUGCAGCGACGCCGCGUGAGUGAAGAAGUAAUUCGUUAUGUAAAGCUCUAUCAGCAGGGAAGAAAAUGACGGUACUUGAGUAAGAAGCCCCGGCUAACUACGUGCCAGCAGCCGCGGUAAUACGUAGGGGGCAAGCGUUAUCCGGAUUUACUGGGUGUAAAGGGAGCGUAGACGGCAGUGCAAGUUUGGUGUGAAAGUCGGGGGCUCAACCCCCGAACUGCUCUGGAAACUGGACGGCUGGAGUGCAGGAGAGGUAAGUGGAAUUCCUAGUGUAGCGGUGAAAUGCGUAGAUAUUAGGAGGAACACCAGUGGCGAAGGCGGCUUACUGGACUGUAACUGACGUUGAGGCUCGAAAGCGUGGGGAUCGAACAGGAUUAGAUACCCUAGUAGUC
rnacentral:rRNA from 1 species